UCACCGGGUUUUUCUUCAUCUCCUCUCGGCGGCGACACGCGAUUUUUGCUGAGCCGGCGCUGGAGAGCUUUCCUCUCCUCCGAUGGAGUCUUCUCCCGUCCUCGGCUCGAUCCCUUGAGGUAGAUAAUCUGAUUUCGAGCAGGAAAAAUAUGAUCUUUCUCUGCUAAUUUUGCGCUGCCGUCUCUGAAAUCGGCAGGGUUUCGCUGUUUCCAAGGGAAAGGGAAAAGGGUAGGGGGAAAAGAAGACUGAUGUUUCAUUCAGGAUCCUAUCGGGGACGGCGAGGGGGAUUUCCUCCUCGUCAUCGCGCCGCCAUGGGAUUCCCCUUCAGGACCUGCCUUAUGUUCGCCGUCGUCGCCGCCCUUUUCCUCUCGGCCGCCGACAAGUCGACUGCUGCCGAGGGGGACUACGUCGUCAACUGCGGCGACUCCGGCCAGAAAUUCGACACGGACGGCCGCAACUGGAGGGGGGACACCGGCUCCAACUUUUUCCCCGGUAGCCAGAACAGCCCGGCCGCCGUCGCCAGCAAUCAAGCCUCCUCCGUCCCGCAGGUUCCCUACAUGACCGCCCGGAUCUUCACCUCCGAGUUCACCUACACCUUCCCCAUCUCCCCCGGCCGCAAAUUCGUCCGCCUCCACUUCUACCCUGCCGACUACGGCGACCACACCGCCGGCGACUCCCGCUUCGCCGCCGUCGUCUUCCCCGGGAACGUCACCCUCCUGAGGAACUUCAGCGCCUCCCAGACCGCCCAGGCGAAAAAUAUCGAGUACUUCUUCCAGGAGUUCUCGGUCAACGUCACGACAGGCUCCCUGAACCUGACCUUCUCCCCCUCGCCGGACGUCCCCAAUUCCUACGCCUUCGUCAACGGCAUCGAGAUCUUGUCAACCCCAGACAUCUUUGUCUCUCAGGACCUGACCCUCGUCGGGCGAUCCGUGAUGUAUUCCGUCGGACCGAUGGUUUCCUUCCAGACGAUGUACCGGCUGAACGCCGGCGGGAGCCGCGUCCCCCCUCCAGAGGACGCCCAGCUUUUCAGGACAUGGGAGAACGACGAAAAGUACGUACUUAACACGAGGGGCGGGGCGACGAUCUCCAAGAGCGACAACCUCACGUUCAGUUACGGCAGCGUGCCCAAUUACACGGCGCCGCCGCAGGUCUACGAGACUGCCCGAAUAAUGGGGGGCGAUGGAAGAGUCAACCUCGGCUACAAUCUCACCUGGAGAUUUCUUGUCGAUCCGGGCUUCAACUACCUCGUGAGGCUGCACUUCUGCGAGAUCGACGCCAACAUCACGAAGAGAAACGAGAGGGUCUUCGCCAUCUACCUCGACAACCAGAUGGCGGUGCAGGAUUACGAUGUGAUCAUUCGAAGCAGUGGCGGCGGGAAAGCGAACUACCUGGAUCUCGUCGUGCAGGUUCAAGUCGGAACGGAGCAGCGUUACCUCUUGCUCGAGCUCCACCCUGACACGGUAUCUAAGCCAACGUACAACGAUGCCAUCCUGAAUGGGCUGGAGAUCCUCAAGCUAAGUUCAUUCGACAGCAAUCUGGCUGGGCCUAAUCCAGUUCCCGAGGUUCAGGAGAAUCCGGGGACGGGAGGCGGGAGUCCUGUUCCCAAGCAGGGGGGUGGCUCUAAGAGUAGCGUUGCAGUCAUUGCAGGAGCCGUGGCCGGCGGUCUUGCGAUUCUGCUGCUCGUUGGUGCGGUGGUAUUCACGAUGAGGCGGAAAAAGAAGAAGCUCGUGCCGCAGAAGGAUGAGACGAGCACCAGCAAGGCGUCAUCCAGCUGGCUCCCCCUCUCUCUCUACGUCAAGAAAUCCUCCGUCUCGAUCAAGACGAACGCCUCGCGGAGCUCUGCGUCUUCUCUGCCCGCCAACCUCUGCCGUCACUUCUCAUUUGCAGAGAUCGAGGCCGCCACGAACGGCUUCCACGAGAGCCUCAUCCUCGGGGUCGGUGGGUUCGGCAAAGUCUACAGGGGCCAGAUCGACGGCGGGUCGACGGAGGUGGCCAUCAAACGUGCCAAUCCCACAGCGGAGCAGGGUAUCCGUGAGUUCCAAACCGAGAUCGAGUUGCUGUCCAAGCUCCGCCACCGCCACCUCGUCUCCCUCAUCGGCUACUGCGAGGAGAACCGGGAGAUGAUCCUGGUCUACGAUUAUAUGGCUCACGGCACACUGAGAGAGCACCUCUACAAGACCCAGAACCCGCCGCUCUCCUGGAAGCAGAGGCUGGAGAUCUGCAUCGGCGCCGCCCGCGGCCUCCAUUACCUUCACACCGGCGCAAAGCACACCAUCAUCCACCGCGACGUGAAGACCACCAACAUCCUGCUGGACGAGAAAUGGGUCGCCAAGGUUUCGGACUUCGGCCUCUCCAAGACCGGCCCGACGGUGGAUCGCACCCACGUCAGCACAGUCGUGAAGGGCAGCUUCGGGUACCUGGACCCCGAGUACUUCCGGCGGCAGGUGCUCACAGAGAAAUCUGACGUCUACUCCUUCGGCGUGGUCCUGUUCGAGGUACUCUGUGCCAGGCCAGUGUUGGACCCGCGGCUGCCAAAGGAGCAGGUGAGCCUGGCCGAGUGGGCUCUCCACUGCCAGAGGAAGGGCGUGCUCGAUCAGAUCAUGGAUCCCCAUCUCAGGGGAAAGAUCGCGCCGCAGUGCUUCAAGAAGUUCGCCGAGACGGCGGAGAAUUGCUUGGCCGACCGCGGCGUGGAUCGCCCCUCCGUGGGCGACGUGCUGUGGAACCUGGAGUUCGCUCUGAAGCUCCAGGAGAGCGCGGAUGAAGGAGGGAGCCUCCUCAGCGGAGCCGGCAUCGGCGGCGGCCACGGCAACGGCGACGACGCUGCACCGCUAUUGACGGGGAAAACCCCGCCAUCCUCUGACCCAUCUACGGAUUCACGUAGCACCGGUGUCACCUCUACCUCGACAUUCAGCAUGGACGGCCGCAGCAUCACCAGCGACUCCUCAGACGGGCUCACCCCGAGCGGCGUCUUCUCCCAGAUCAUCGACCGCAAGGGCCGCUGACACUCUCCGACGUGCCGCCCCCUCCCCACAACCUCCGUGUGCAGAAUUUCUCUGCGACCUUAUCUCUCUGUAGCGUGUACCCCACCUAGCCUUGCUCUGACGUGCUUCACCCUUCACUAGUACACGACGAGUUGAGCUCCGUCGAUUGGACUCUUCGUGUCUCCUCCGACUACUCUCCGCAGUGAUCGUUCGCAAUAACGGAAGAGGAUUUCUGUGUUGAAGAGAAAAUGCAUUCAAGAAACCACGGCACUAAUGGCGUCGACAGCCCCUCCCCGUCGCUCGUUUGGUUGCCUCAGAGGGAGAGCCAUUAGUGAUGUGGAAAGCUUUGGGGCGAGCGGGCCGAUGGAUAAGUCGGCGCCACCACCUUCAGCUGAGGCUCCCUUCUGUCUGCAACCAACGAGCUUAUCCAGCUCCCCGCCGUCUCUGACGAAGAAGAAGGUCGGCGUCUCCCGGACUUCCCACGACGAACUGAGCUUCUGCAACACGACGCGAGAAAUCGACUACUCCUGGCAGAACUUGCGCAAUUACAUAAGAGGAUUUCUAUGCUCGAGGAGAAGCUCAGAUGCAUUCGAGAAGCCACGGAAGCGCGCAGCGCCGCCGCAGAAGAUCCUCGUAUGUACUUCUAUAUAGUGUGAAUGAAUCAUUUUUAAUAUCCUAUUUUUCCAGUAAAAAAAUAAUUUCGAGGAACAUCCAUAUUUUACCUUGGAGUAGCCCUGUCCUCAUCGUUGACUUACGCAGUAACAUUUUUUGUUGGCUGAUUUAUGUUGUCAUGGAUUUAACGGAAGCCUAUAUUUAUGUAAGAUCUUGGCCAUCUGAUUUUGAAAAAUGGUCAAGACCUGCCAGCCAGUUAAUGGAAAAAUGGGAUUUUUUUCUUGUCGCGGGGAAAAAAUAUCAUAAUUUAAAUUGGAUAUUGUGUGUCAAACCCUCCCCCUAAAUAAGUAUAAGGCUAAAUGUCGUCUACAUGGUGUUCCCGUGGAUCGCCCGAUCCGACACCGGGCCGGGAAUCGGAACCCCAGACCUCGUCGGCGGCACCAUCAUCGGACUACCUCCAGCUCUCACAGGGACCAAACGCCUUCUUCUGGUGGUCUUCAGGUGCCGGUGGAGAGGGGGGGCUGGGGUUCUCGCCUCAUCGGAAUCCCCGACCGCCAGGUAGAAUCUCGACCCUCUUACGCCGCGGAGUCCCGUCUCCUCCUCCGCCGGGAAGGGGGGGGCGCUGCCGUCUUGUUUCAGCCAAGGCGGAGGAGACCAUUCUCUCGCCAACAGGAGUUUCCUGCACGGCGCGAUAGAUCCGGGUUUUGUUCUUGCGAUUUCCGAUUCUUGAUCUCCCGACGAAACCCUAGAUUAUGUGUAAACCCAUGGCCAUGCCGCAUGUUUGAAUCGCGCGCUGAUCCAGCGGGCGGUUUUCGCCUGCUGUGUAAUUCCGUGUUGGGCCUCUGAUUCCGAUUUUGCAGGCGAUGUGAUGCUCUGGACGAACCGCGGAACCGAUUCAGGGGCCUUGGAGGGGGGCGGUGGUCUCCUCUCUGCAGAUCUCCCGAGGUGGUCUCUACACCUGUGUUAUCAUCGAGUCUUCGGGAUGGCCCCUAUCCCCGUCGGGAGCCGCCGCCUCCUUCCUCCCUCCGCUCCCGUCCUUCUACUCUUCGUCUUCCUCCUCCACACCGGUCAGACCAGCGGCGACGCCUCAUCUACCGUCGCCGGGGAAUACAUCCUCCUCAACUCCGGCGGUUCUGGGCGGAUGCCCGAUUUGGACCAUCGCGUAUGGGCGGGGGACGCUGGGUCCGAGUUCCUCCCCUCAGGUCAUAACACCCUGGCCGCCGCCGCCGCCUUCCAGAGCUCUUCCGUCCCGCAAGUCCCCUACAUGACUGCCCGGAUCUUCACCUCCGAGUUCACCCACUCCUUCCCCAUCUCCCCCGGCCGCAAGUUCAUCCGCCUCCACUUCUACCCCUCUGCCUACGGCAACUACGCCGCCGGCGACUCCCGCUUCGCCGUCACGGUCUCCCCCGGGAAUUUCACUCUCCUGAGAAACUUCAGCCCCGCAGAGACCGCUCGGGCGCGCAAUGUCGACUAUCUCUUCUUCGAGUACUCGGUCAACGCGUCGACCGGCCGCCUGAACCUGACCUUCUCCCCCUCGCCGGACGUCCCCAACUCCUACGCCUUCAUCAACGGGAUCGAGGUAAUCCCCAUGGACGACAUCUUCCGUCCUGAGCUCCUCAUCGUCGUUGGGACGCCUGCGACGUUCUCUGUCGACUGCCAGACUCGCGCUUUCCA
rnacentral:lncRNA from 1 species